GGCCACCUGUGGGGGGCUUUACCAUAGGCGGUGAAUCCGCCGACACAGCAAACGGAAGACAGAAA
ncrna:unclassified sequences L2-Alphaproteobacteria ribosomal protein leader